CGUCUGGGGCGCCCCACUGAGCCCAGGGAGCCCCACUCCUGCCGCCCUAGUGCGCGAUCUCCCGAGCGUCGACUUUUUCGGGACUCCCUCCGCCACCUCGCAGAGACUUUCUGUGGCUCCCCCGCCCCUUGUCCCGCCGCUCGGACGUGGCCACAUGGGGGGGGGGGACGCGGUAUAAAGGGCUGGAGGCAGCGAGGGCCGAGACCCGAGACGUGGCGCGCCCGCUCCGCCGGCCUCCGCUCCAGUGCUUGAAUUUCAGCAACGUCACUAAACUGCCAUCUCAGGUGAGAGGAACAGGCUGAAGAGAACAUCACCUGGAAGAGGUCAAGAUGCUACUGGGGGCCAGGACUGAGCUUCAAGGGAAACCUGAAUAUCUGUGGUCUUUAAGAUGUGAUAAAAUUGUAUUAAAAUGAUGAAAAAUCUCAAAA